GCAUAUUUGUGAACGUUGCGUAGAUUAUAAAAAGGCCAUGAAGGAAGCAACCCGUUUAUUACAAAGUCAUUAUUAAUGAAUUUGUUUUUAAUGAGUUUGUUUUUAUCAUUCCUUGAACUUCAACGCUUACAAAAAUAUUCGGAAAGCUCAACAAUUAGCAGAAAUACAUACACAGCUGACAAGAUUUUUAAACUAUUUAAAAAAUCAAAAUGCUGUUCCGCAAGAAAUUAUUCAAACGCUCAAAUCAGCAGUACCUCCCACACCAGACCGAUGAGAUGUCAAAAAAGAUGGAGAAACAAAAGAAAAACGUAAUUCAGAACAAGGCAGUCCAAGUUUCAUGUGUUCCAAUAGGUCCUCAAAAUGUGCCGUACCGUUAAAAACGGAGGGUGCAUUGGACAGCAUGUUUUUCACGGCGAGAUCCCAACAUUUCCAGCUACAGACCAAUUGAAGACUGAAACUAACAGAAGAGACAUUUGCGCUCUAAAGAAGGCAAAAUUGGCUUGCUUGGAGAGUGCUAAUGCUGCAACGCCUCAGAAGUCUUCAAAUCAAAUAUAUAACGAGAGGAGGGUGAAUUCAUCUCAAAACUUGAAAAUGUCCUCCCGCUAUGACGAACACCCCGCAUUUCGGAGCACUUUAUUCAUGGGAGGCCCCAAAAAGGAGGGCAGCAGACAAGGGGCGAGGACGUCGGAGCGAGGUCGAAAAUUAGGCAACGUCAGAACUCGGACCUCUCUCCCCCUGCAGAGCAUUCAAGAGUGUGAGGACGAACACCUUUACCACGAUCCUUAGCACCCCACGCCGUACUUUCACAUUUCAACGUUUAGUUAAAAACUAAUUCGCAAAUGAGUGAUUGUACAAAACUUUGUAAAAAUACUUGUUUUCUAUAAUUUAUAACGCUUAAAAUUCUAGUGAAUAAGCUAUGGUUGAGUUCAACAAUUA